GAUGAACGCUGGCGGCGUGCCUAAUACAUGCCAGUCGAGCGAACAGACGAGGAACUUGCUCCUCUGACGUUAUCGGCGGACGGGGGAGUAACACGUGGAUAACAUACCUAUAAGACUGGGAUAAAUUCGGGAAACCGGAGCUAAUACCGGAUAAUAGAUUGAACCGCAUCGUUCAAUAGUGAAAAAAGGUUUUUCUGUCACUUAUGCAUUGAUCCACGCCGCAUUUUCUAGUUGGUAAGGUAAAGGCUGAGCAAGGCAACGAUGCGAAGCCGACCGGGGAGGGUGAUCGGCCAAACGGGAACUGGGACACGCCCCAAACUCCUAGGGGAGGCAGCAGGGGGGAAUCUUCCGCAAUGGGCGAAAGCCUGACGGAGCACCGCGGCGUGAGUGAGGAAGGUCUUCGGAUCGUAAAACUCUGUUAUCAGGGAGGAACAAAUGUGUAAGUAACUAUGCACGUAUUGACGGUACCUAAUCAGAAAGCCACGGCUAACUACGUG
rnacentral:rRNA from 1 species